UUGUAAUAUACCGAAACUUCAGUAGAAUACUCCGGACUUUAGCUAAAUGGACUAAAAUGUGCGAAGGAAAUAGUUGGACAAAGUCAAUUUGGCAUUCCAACAAUGUUGGAAAGGUUAAAAAUGAGUUUCAGAAGAGUUAGAAAGGUUUUAGCAUUGAUCGGCGCGAAAUAAAAUCGAAGAAGAUGCAAAACUGAAAUUCUGGGCAUUGUGUUACCGGUAAUACAUCGGGCUUAUACCGGUACCAAACAGCUGACCGAGAGCAGCAGAUCUCGGGUUUGAGAAAUUUUGGCUGUUAAACCGGUGACACCCCUUGUAACAUACCGGAUUUUAAUAUAAAAGCAAAAAUAAAAAAAAAUAGUGUGAGAUAUUAUUUUUAUUGGAUUUAGAGAAAUAAAAUAUAACUCAGGAAUGACUUGUGCUGAAAUCGGAAUGAAAACAGAAGAUUUAGAAUUUUUUGUGAGAAACAAAGUUGAUAUUUUAGCAGAAAAUGCACAGUGUCAGAAAAUUAUGAAAACUAGAGAUAUGUCGAAAAUAUUUUUGUGAGGCUAGAUUUAAAGUUUCAUGUCAAUCCGACACCCGAAAAGUAAAAAAUAAAAUCUAACUGCUAUCUGCUAGAGAUUACAGUUCGGUAGAGCUUUCGGUGACCAAAUGUGGUCGAAACUGAAAGAUUAAAAUUCUUUCGUUAAGUUAAGUAAAACCGAGCCUGACUGCCAAAUUUGAGCUCAAACGGAUAUUCAGAAGGGCAGGCGAAAAAUAUCUGUACCUGUGCUGAAAGUUGAAUAAUGUUGAGGGGCUUUGUAUAAAAAGGAUUUCUCCCCUUUUCUUCUCCUCCAUCAGCCCACGCACACAACACACGCACGCACACACCCUCUCCCUCUCCCUCUCCCUCACACUUGCAAAGAAGGAAGGAUCUCUCUCUCUCUUGAAGGUGGAAUCAAGAGAAGGAUUGGUGGAGAAGGAAUCAAGAAGGUGGAUCAUUUUUUUCUUCAUCUUCUUCCUCUCCAUUAGAGCUAGCCUGAGAGGUAAGCUUUGAUGCCGUUUAAUGGUAGAUUUCUAGGGUUGAGUUUUUAAGCUCUAGAAAUGGGUUUAAUUGAAUCCUAGGAUGUUAAAUGAAUGUAAAUUGCAUGAAUCAAGU
rnacentral:lncRNA from 1 species